rnacentral:rRNA from 1 species
UGGGGAAUAUUGCACAAUGGGCGCAAGCCUGAUGCAGCCAUGCCGCGUGUGUGAAGAAGGCCUUCGGGUUGUAAAGCACUUUCAGCGGGGAGGAAGGCGGUGAGGUUAAUAACCUCAUCGAUUGACGUUACCCGCAGAAGAAGCACCGGCUAACUCCGUGCCAGCAGCCGCGGUAAUACGGAGGGUGCAAGCGUUAAUCGGAAUUACUGGGCGUAAAGCGCACGCAGGCGGUCUGUCAAGUCGGAUGUGAAAUCCCCGGGCUCAACCUGGGAACUGCAUUCGAAACUGGCAGGCUAGAGUCUUGUAGAGGGGGGUAGAAUUCCAGGUGUAGCGGUGAAAUGCGUAGAGAUCUGGAGGAAUACCGGUGGCGAAGGCGGCCCCCUGGACAAAGACUGACGCUCAGGUGCGAAAGCGUGGGGAGCAAACAGGA